GACGGACGCUGGCGGCGUGCUUAACACAUGCCAGUCGAACGGAAAGGCCCUGCUUUUGUGGGGUGCUCGAGUGGCGAACGGGUGAGUAACACGUGAGUAACCUGCCCUUGACUUUGGGAUAACUUCAGGAAACUGGGGCUAAUACCGGAUAGGAGCUCCUGCUGCAUGGUGGGGGUUGGAAAGUUUCGGCGGUUGGGGAUGGACUCGCGGCUUAUCAGCUUGUUGGUGGGGUAGUGGCUUACCAAGGCUUUGACGGGUAGCCGGCCUGAGAGGGUGACCGGCCACAUUGGGACUGAGAUACGGCCCAGACUCCUACGGGAGGCAGCAGUGGGGAAUAUUGCACAAUGGGCGGAAGCCUGAUGCAGCAACGCCGCGUGCGGGAUGACGGCCUUCGGGUUGUAAACCGCUUUCGCCUGUGACGAAGCGUGAGUGACGGUAAUGGGUAAAGAGGCACCGGCUAACUACGUG
rnacentral:rRNA from 1 species